GUGUCAGCAGCCGCGGUAAUACGGGGGGUGCGAGCGUUGUCCGGAAUCACUGGGCGUAAAGGGCGCGUAGGUGGUUUGAUAAGGGUGUGGUGAAAGUCCGGGGCUCAACCCCGGAUCUGCCGUGCCGACUGUCAAACUCGAGGACUGUAGAGGCAGACGGAAUUCCGGGUGUAGCGGUGGAAUGCGUAGAGAUCCGGAGGAAGACCGGUGGCGAAGGCGGUCUGCUGGGCAGUUUCUGACACUGAGGCGCGACAGCGUGGGGAGCAAACAGGAUUAGAAACCCCUGUAGUCC
rnacentral:rRNA from 1 species